rnacentral:rRNA from 1 species
GAUGAACGCUGGCGGCGUGCCUAAUACAUGCAAGUCGAGCGAAUGGAUUAAGAGCUUGCUCUUAUGAAGUUAGCGGCGGACGGGUGAGUAACACGUGGGUAACCUGCCCAUAAGACUGGGAUAACUCCGGGAAACCGGGUCUAAUACCGGAUAAUAUUUUGAACUGCAUGGUUCAAAGUUGAAAGGCGACUUCGUCUGUCACUUAUCGAUGGACCCGCGUCGCAUUAGCUAGUUGGUGAGGUAACGGCUCACCAAGGCAACGAUGCGUAGCCGACCUGAGAGGGUGAUCGGCCACACUGGGACUGAGACACGGCCCAGACUCCUACGGGAGGCAGCAGUAGGGAAUCUUCCGCAAUGGACGAAAGUCUGACGGAGCAACGCCGCGUGAGUGAUGAAGGCUUUCGGGUCGUAAAACUCUGUUGUUAGGGAAGAACAAGUGCUAGUUGAAUAAGCUGGCACCUUGACGGUACCUAACCAGAAAGCCACGGCUAACUACGUGCCAGCCGCCGCGGUAA